UACGUAGGGUGCGAGCGUUGUCCGGAAUUACUGGGCGUAAAGAGCUCGUAGGUGGUUUGUCGCGUUGUUCGUGAAAACUCACAACUCAAUUGUGGGCGUGCGGGCGAUACGGGCAGACUGGAGUACUGCAGGGGAGACUGGAAUUCCUGGUGUAGCGGUGGAAUGCGCAGAUAUCAGGAGGAACACCGGUGGCGAAGGCGGGUCUCUGGGGCAUUAACUACGUGAGGAGCGAAAAGCAUGGGGGAGCA
rnacentral:rRNA from 1 species